CUGGCUCAGUGCGGCUGGAUCACCUCCCCUAGAGUUUGAUCCCGGAUCGGUGAGUAAUGCCUACGAAUCUGCCUGGUAGUGGGGGAUAACGUCCGGAAACGGGCGCUAAUACCGCAUACGUCCUGAGGGAGAAAGUGGGGGAUCUUCGGACCUCACGCUAUCAGAUGAGCCUAGGUCGGAUUAGCUAGUUGGUGGGGUAAAGGCCUACCAAGGCGACGAUCCGUAACUGGUCUGAGAGGAUGAUCAGUCACACUGGAACUGAGACACGGUCCAGACUCCUACGGGAGGCAGCAGUGGGGAAUAUUGGACAAUGGGCGAAAGCCUGAUCCAGCCAUGCCGCGUGUGUGAAGAAGGUCUUCGGAUUGUAAAGCACUUUAAGUUGGGAGGAAGGGCAGUAAGUUAAUACCUUGCUGUUUUGACGUUACCAACAGAAUAAGCACCGGCUAACUUCGUGCCAGCAGCCGCGGUAAUACGAAGGGUGCAAGCGUUAAUCGGAAUUACUGGGCGUAAAGCGCGCGUAGGUGGUUCAGCAAGUUGGAUGUGAAAUCCCCGGGCUCAACCUGGGAACUGCAUCCAAAACUACUGAGCUAGAGUACGGUAGAGGGUGGUGGAAUUUCCUGUGUAGCGGUGAAAUGCGUAGAUAUAGGAAGGAACACCAGUGGCGAAGGCGACCACCUGGACUGAUACUGACACUGAGGUGCGAAAGCGUGGGGAGCAAACAGGAUUAGAUACCCUGGUAGUCCACGCCGUAAACGAUGUCGACUAGCCGUUGGGAUCCUUGAGAUCUUAGUGGCGCAGCUAACGCGAUAAGUCGACCGCCUGGGGAGUACGGCCGCAAGGUUAAAACUCAAAUGAAUUGACGGG
rnacentral:rRNA from 1 species